rnacentral:lncRNA from 1 species
CUUUGCUGACCCACUCGUCCAGGCUGAAUGCUCCACGUAUGGAUCAGACCCAGGUGGGACUGCAGCAACACAGAGGGAGUUUACACAGAAGGAUCCUUAUGCAGGUGCCCAACUCAGCAGUGGCCUGGAAGCCUCCACCGAAGAAUGUCACCCUGGCCCGAGGCCCAGCCCUAGACAAAAGCCCUUUUGGAGCUAAGCCUACAUCCUCUGGCUGACAGGACCCUGCCCGCCUCCCCACUGCCAACCAGGGAGGGCAGCUAAAUUUGUGCUCCUUGGAUCGAUGGUUUCCGCAGGGCUCAAAAUGAGCCUAGGCCCUUGCCCGCUGUCCUUGGCUCCCAGACGAACGGCUGACUGUCCUCACACAAAGAAGGGAAGGAAGAUGAGAUGCCAUUGCCCUGAAACCAGGGCAGGGAGGCCGCAGGCACAGCACGCGUGAGCUGGGGGCAGAGCCCAGUGCAGGAACAAAGGACA